rnacentral:rRNA from 1 species
GGCCUUUCGGGUUGUAAACCUCUUUUAGUAGGGAAGAAGCGAAAGUGACGGUACCUGCAGAAAAAGCACCGGCUAACUACGUGCCAGCAGCCGCGGUAAUACGUAGGGUGCAAGCGUUGUCCGGAAUUAUUGGGCGUAAAGAGCUCGUAGGCGGUUUGUCGCGUCUGCUGUGAAAACCCGAGGCUCAACCUCGGGCCUGCAGUGGGUACGGGCAGACUAGAGUGCGGUAGGGGAGAUUGGAAUUCCUGGUGUAGCGGUGGAAUGCGCAGAUAUCAGGAGGAACACCGAUGGCGAAGGCAGAUCUCUGGGCCGUAACUGACGCUGAGGAGCGAAAGCGUGGGGAGCGAACAGGAUUAGAUACCCUGGUAGUCCACGCCGUAAACGUUGGGAACUAGAUGUGGGGACCAUUCCACGGUCUCCGUGUCGCAGCUAACGCAUUAAGUUCCCCGCCUGGGGAGUACGGCCGCAAGGCUAAAACUCAAAGGAAUUGACGGGGGCCCGCACAAGCGGCGGAGCAUGCGGAUUAAUUCGAUGCAACGCGAAGAACCUUACCAAGGCUUGACAUAUACCGGAAACGUCUGGAAACAGUCGCCCCGCAAGGUCGGUAUACAGGUGGUGCAUGGUUGUCGUCAGCUCGUGUCGUGAGAUGUUGGGUUAAGUCCCGCAACGAGCGCAACCCUCGUUCUAUGUUGCCAGCACGUAAUGGUGGGAACUCAUAGGAGACUGCCGGGGUCAACUCGGAGGAAGGUGGGGAUGACGUCAAAUCAUCAUGCCCCUUAUGUCUUGGGCUUCACGCAUGCUACAAUGGCCGGUACAAAGGGCUGCAAUACCGUAAGGUGGAGCGAAUCCCAAAAAGCCGGUCUCAGUUCGGAUUGAGGUCUGCAACUCGACCUCAUGAAGUCGGAGUCGCUAGUAAUCGCAGAUCAGCAACGCUGCGGUGAAUACGUUCCCGGGCCUUGUACACACCGCCCGUCAAGUCAUGAAAGUCGGUAACACCCGAAGCCGGUGGCCU